AAGGAAUAUUGGGCAAUGGGCGAAAGCYUGACCCAGCGACACCGCGUCGGGGGAAGAAGGCUUCGGGUUGUAAACCCYUUUUCCCGGGGAAGAAUACUGACGGUACCCGGGGAAUAAGCCUCGGCUAACUACGUGCCAGCAGCCCGCCGGUAAUACGUAGGAGGCGAGCGUUAUCCGGAUUUACUGGGCGUAAAGAGGGCGUAGGCGGCUUGUYAAGUCGGAUGUGAAAUCUCCCCGGCUUAACUGGGAGGGUGCAUUUGAUACUGAUGGGCUAGAGUGCAGCAGAGGGAAGUGGAAUUCCCGGUGUAGUGGUGAAAUGCGUAGAUAUCGGGAAGAACACUAGUGGCGAAGGCGGCUUCCUGGGCUGUWACUGACGCUGAGGCNCGAAGGCGUGGGGAGCAAACAGGAUUAGAUACCCUGGUAGUCCACGCAGUAAACGAUGGAUACUAGGUAUAGGGAGU
rnacentral:rRNA from 1 species